AAUAUUGGACAAUGGGGGCAACCCUGAUCCAGCCAUGCCGCGUGUGUGAAGAAGGUCUUCGGAUUGUAAAGCACUUUAAGUUGGGAGGAAGGGCUUUAGGCUAAUACCCUGAAGUUUGGACGUUACCAACAGAAUAAGCACCGGCUAACUACGGGCCAGCAGCCGCGGUAAUACGUAGGGUGCGAGCGUUGUCCGGAAUUACUGGGCGUAAAGGGCUCGUAGGUGGUUCAGUAAGAUGGGUGUGAAAUCCCCGGGCUUAACCUGGGAACUGCUUUCAUAACUGCUGAGCUAGAGUACGGUAGGGGGUAGUGGAAUUUCCUGUGUCGCGGUGAAAUGCGUAGAUAUAGGAAGGCACACCAGUGGCGAAGGCGACUUUCUGGCCUGAAACUGACGCUGAGGCGCGAAAGCGUGGGGCGCAAACA
rnacentral:rRNA from 1 species